CGUGAGCGGCGGACGGGUGAGUAACGCGUGGGUAACUGCCUCAUACAGGGGGAUAACAGUUGGAAACGGCUGCUAAUACCGCAUAAGCGCACAGUACCGCAUGGUACGGUGUGAAAAACUCCGGUGGUAUGAGAUGGACCCGCGUCUGAUUAGGUAGUUGGUGGGGUAACGGCCUACCAAGCCGACGAUCAGUAGCCGACCUGAGAGGGUGACCGGCCACAUUGGGACUGAGACACGGCCCAA
rnacentral:rRNA from 1 species